rnacentral:pre_miRNA from 14 species
UUCUGACAGGAAUGGCCAGGGGAGGUUGGUAUUGAAAGAUCCCCAAAGGGAGACCCUCACUCAAGUCUCGGGAAGUCGUGGACCCCAGACACACGAGAGACC